rnacentral:rRNA from 1 species
GACAGAGGGUGCAAACGUUGUUCGGAAUUACUGGGCGUAAAGCGCGUGUAGGCGGCCCUGCAAGUCGGAUGUGAAAUCCCACGGCUCAACCGUGGAAGUGCAUUCGAAACUGCAGGGCUAGAGUCCUGGAGAGGAAGGUGGAAUGCUUGGUGUAGGGGUGAAAUCCGUAGAUCUACGAAGGAACGCCAAAAGCGAAGGCAGCUCUCUGGGUCCCUACCGACGCUGGGGUGCGAAAGCAUGGGGAGCGAACAGG